AAAACUUUCCCCAUUCCCCGUUUUCUCUCUCGCAAACCCCCCGAAACCCUCUCUUCCCAGCACUCCACCAGCCCUAGCCGACUCUUCCUCUCCCUGCCGCCGGCAGCUGAUCAACUCUUCCUCUGUUUAUCUACUGGUUAGGGAAAGGAGACGAUGGCAUCGUAACUCUUUAGUUCGCUACUUAAUCUCCAAUUUCUCUGUUGCUAGAAGUUACUUUUGACAUGUUACUAUGUGUUUGUUGACUCUUCACUUCUCCUUUCACAAAAACAUUUUGUAUUGUGACAGUACACUGAUUUAUUUAGAUGAUUCUGAUAUGAUAAGAAUUAGAUUGCUAGGUCAAGACAUAUAAUUGAGAGCUUUUGGACUUGUACGAAAGGGCGUAGGAAAUGAUUGGAUGUUUUUUGGUGUGACAUUAUCCUUUAUCCAGCGUGUCCAAUGUUGAUGCAAUGUUGCUGCCAUUGUGGUUGAUUUUUUUAUUCUCAAAAGUUUAUCAACAAGUGCCCGUCUUGCUUUAGUCUUCUUAGUUAAUCUCAUAUGACUUUAGAUUGAGUUUCUUGAAGUUUAGUGUCUGCUGUGGUUGAUUUUUUGUUAUGGCACAUGAGGUGUUCGACGAAAGUCCACACCGGCAACCACUGGUUUUUCUUCUAACAAAACUUUGUGUUGCGAUUCAGAAAUGGAAACGGGGGGAUUUUCUAUAUAAAGUGGAGUCCUGUUGGUCAGAUCGCAAGUUCUCUACUUGCUCAAGCGGAUGCUGAUGGUUGAAUGUGAGCUCAUGAUUUUUCAUUAAGUAUAAAGUAUGAACUACGAAGAAAGUGUUAGGUGCAAACAAAGUCCCACGUUGAUUAGAAAAUGAAGUAAUUAUGGGUACACAAGUGAGGAUAAUUAUCUCAUAUUUGGUUAUUUCUUCAUUGUCUCAUGUUUAACAAAUUGCUUUCACCUCAUAGUCUAAUUUCUAGUUUCUGAUUAGAAAAUUUCAAGUUGAAUCUUUCUUGUUUCUAAAAAAAAUUUGCAAAAGACUCGAAAAACCACAUUCUGGAAAACGGUAAAGGUAAGUAUAAGAGCAUUGAAAAAAUUAAUAGAAUGAUGUUUAUUUAAUGCAUCUGUAUGAUAUGUGUAUUAAUUAUUGGCUUUGUAUUGUAGUGUCUUUUAUAAGUGGGAACUGUCGAAUGUGGGUGUUAUGAGAUAUAUGCAAGAAAUCAUGACUAAAGAGAAGAAUAUUAUCACAGAUGCAAUUGAUACGAGGAGCUCGUACCCGCAACUUGAAUUGGAUGAAGUACGUGUGGAAUGGACUGAAUAUUUAGGUCGUUAUAUUUGAUGGACUUCCUAUAAAUUUUGUGUAUGUGGCUACAUGGGAAUACCCAAAACUUUUUUUGUGUAAAUAUUUUGUUCAGCCAUUAUAGGUUAUAUACUUCAAAGAAAUGUGUGGUGGAGGAUAGAAUUUUAGUCUUCUGAUUUUUGGAAUACAUAGCACAUAUAGAUUAGUCUUACAAUUUUGAAAUUAUCAUAUAUUGGGGUGGGUUGAUAGAGUUAUAUACUGUUGUACGGAUUGGUCUUGUAAAUUUUGGAAUCGUUCAUAUAGACAUGAGUAAUAGAAGAAUGGAAUUGUUUAUUUUA